UACGGAGGAGGCAAGCGUUAUCCGGAAUUAUUGGGCGUAAAGCGUCCGCAGGUGGCUAUUCAAGUCUGCGGUCAAAGACUGGGGCUUAACCCUGGAAAGGCCGUGGAAACUGAAGUGCUAGAGUGCAGUAGGGGUAGAGGGAAUUCCCGGUGUAGCGGUGAAAUGCGUAGAGAUCGGGAAGAACAUCGGUGGCGAAAGCGCUCUGCUGGACUGCAACUGACACUCAGGGACGAAAGCUAGGGGAGCGAAUGGG
rnacentral:rRNA from 1 species